rnacentral:lncRNA from 1 species
CUGUGAGAUCUUAACCAUGCUCAUUUGGAGACAAAUUUUGGCAGUUUGCCAUCAUUAAAGGAUAAUGUGGGAUCCUAAGAUGUGCACAACCUCUGCCACUCUGUAGGUGUUUGAGAAGUGGUAGCUGAUGGAAAACAUAAUGUGAGUUCAAGCUUAUGUGUAUUGUGGAAUAACAGGAUGAUUUCUCUCUUAUUUUCUCUUCAGGGGAUUCCUGCAUUGGUGUGCAAAAAUGGAAAACUGCCUUCAUCUCUCAUCUGUUUGGAAAGUGCUUCUCUUGCUGGCCAGGAAACCAGGCAGCUGGUGUCCACUGAGCCCCUUCACAUGCUCCAGCUCUUUCAGACAGAUGUUGCUCUUCCAGAAGUCUAACAUUGGGAUUGUUCCUGUAAGUGGUACAUGGAAGACAAGCACAGGCAACCCCUACUAGUUGCAAUCAAAGAAAUCAUGGAUGAUGCUGGUGAGGUAUCUAGAAUAGUAAUUAUAUGCUGUCCUCAGCUGUCUUUCUGGGAUAUAUCCAUCCAUCAGCUUUUACCUUUUUUUCUUAUGAAUUGCUGACUUUAAUGACUAUAUACAAGGAUUUAAUUAAUUAGUUAAGUUUAGCAAAAGAUAGUAGGGCAUUCAGUGGCUUCAUAGGAGUUAAAUGUAAUCUAAUUUUGAUGUAUAUUUUUCCUCUGCCAUUUUUUGCUCUAUAUAUGCCAUCUGAAAUCCUAACUUGAAAAUCAAAGGCAGAACAGAUACAUACUCAUGU